GAGAAGGAAAGGCUAAGCUUGAUUUGAUCUCACAAUCCGGGCAAAUUACACCUCGAAAACUUUCCUAGCUAAAUAAAAGAGUUUAGGUACUAGAGCUCAUUACAAAACUCUAAAACUCUGAAUAAAAUCUGACUUUUCAAUUACAAAUAAGCUUCCCAUCUUUAAAGGGGAUAUCCUAAAACUAAAGAGGAAGAAAAUAAAAUAUCCCUUUAAAAAAGAAAAAGACAAUCCCUAUUAUUCUGCUCUUUCUGUAAUCAUCACUUUCCAAAUUGGUCUUCUUCAAUCAUGCCCGAAAAUCCCGUGAUAUUUUAUAAAUCACGUCUGCGGUCUUGCGUACGAGGUUUGCCCUAUAAGAGGUCUGCUUGGUAAAGGGUCGGCUCUGCGAGAGGUUUGCCUUGUAAGAGGUCGAUGCUGCCCAAAAUCUAUUUCGCGAUUCCACCUUUGAUUUCUACCUAAAUCUUCUAAUUUAAGAGCUUUUCUUUUAAAGAAUACAGAAUCUGUCAAUAUUGCAAAAAGAAAAGAAAUGAUUAUAAUUCAGCACAAUCAACUCUAAUUUUACGAGAAAUAAUGUGCAUUAAAUAUGCAUAAUAUACACCAUAUUAAAUUCUCACAUACUUAGUUCAUGCUUGCUCUCAAGUAUGAGAUAUAUGUAAAAAUUCAUUUCCCACAUGUACUCCUUAGCUCGGCCUUCCUGUUUGAAUAAAGCUUCACCCAAUAAGUUCCAAGAGAUUAACCCAAAAAGCAAUGUAAAGAUAGGCAAUAGUAGAAUACCCCCUAUAGAGCCCAAAACUCAAGCAUCAAAGAUACACAAAGUAGAGCCUCAAUAUUUAAGCACACAAUUAAGAUUUUCAAGUGAUUAAAUCAACUCAAAUCAAGUUAGAUGCCAAAACCAGCCAGGUUAUAAAGCACACAACACUUCAUAUUUUAUUUUUUGUUAAUGCUAAGCGUCAGGAACCAUUCCAGCUCAAAAAUCUUCUUUAUAUUGUAUGUAGUGAAGCACUUUUUCUUGCUUGAGGUGUCAAUUAUUUUCGGCGUGAGGACACAUAUUGGUGAUACCCAUUCCCGGCUACUUGUAUCACAAUUCUCAAGUGGCUACUAGCUCUACUCUUUAUCCAUUAUCAGAUAGAGGAGUAGGUUUUGUGCUUCUCAGAGCUCAUUUUACUUUCUUGAAGAUGAAAUGGCACAUCCAUUACUUAGCACUUUUAUUUUGAGCACAAUGUUAUCACACAAUUACCAUGGCUGAGGUUCCAUCACAUACUUUAACUGAGUUGACAAUCAAUUUAAGAGCAAGCAAUCUUUCAGUCAAAUAUUCAUUAUAAGACUCUCUCAAUGUGUAUUUAAGAGUCUAGCACUGUGAGCAAAAGAGAGACUCUACUAAGACUACCUAGACAUUGCAAACUGACUUAACCUCCCAAAGCUCAAGUAGCUAGCCUUUCAUAUAAGCAGGGGUCUAAAGACCUUGAAAACGGUUUAACAAGAGGGAAGAAACAUGUUGAAGCAUGUUUGAUGAAACCUCCCCAAACUUAGCUCACUUGGUCCCUAAUGUGAAUGAUGUAUAAUCAAAACUGAAAAACAAGAAAGGAAGGGGACUUUCCUGGAGUCAUGGGAGCAGCAGGUGCGACAGGGCAAGUGCAUAGCAGAGGGAAAAAAUGGUCGGAUCCAUUCAGGAAUGGUGGGAGUCAAUAGUAUCCAAGUGCGAGGCAAGGUGCUUGUGC
rnacentral:lncRNA from 1 species